rnacentral:rRNA from 1 species
AUGGCGGCAGCCAUCGUCGGUGGCAUGGUCGCCUCGGGCGUCAUCAAGGUGGUGAUCACAGAGAUCGGCUCCGCCAUCGGGGGCAAGAUCAAGCUGCAUAAGAACCUGAAGAGAGACCUGGAGAAGAUGAAGAUGACGCUGGAGUCGGUCGAGGCUGCGCUAAGCGACGCCGAAAGGCGGUCUAUCACGGAUAGCUCGGCGCUCCUGUGGGUGAACCGGCUCAAGGAUGCCAUGUACGACAUCUCUGGCAUACUUGAUGACUUUGAAUCUGACACCAACCUGUUAGGAGCCAUGAGGAAGAAGAUUAAUAUGCCAGACAAGAUGAAAAAGAUGCAAGAGCGUCUACAGAAGAUAACAGAAGAUCAUCAGAAUUAUAGCGCUCCGCUAGAAACUCGCUACAACGAGCAACAAAUUCCCGAUACUUGGGAAAAUGCAGGGAAUAUGGAGGAAGUAGAAAUCAUCGGGAGAACUGACGAUAAACAGGAAAUUUUCACUCGUUUAUCUGGGAGCAGCACUGAAGGGACCACCUUCGUUUCCUUAUGGGGCUUUGGAGGCAUUGGAAAGACCACCUUGGCAAGAUCGGUUUAUAACGACCCUAAGUUCGAAAAACACUCUCGCGUAUGGGUCUAUGUCUCCCAGGUAUUUGACUUGAAAAAAAUUGGCAACACUAUAAUAUCAAAACUAUCAGAACAGAGCCAACAGAUACCUGACAUGGAUAGUAUUAAAAUUCGCCUUCAAAAGCUACUUGCUGAGAAGAAGAAUAUUCUGAUCAUUUUGGAUGACCUGUGGGAGAAGCAUCCUCCUCAACUAGAAUAUUUAAAGUCUAUGCUGAAGCAGGGUGAUGGGUGCAAGGUGAUGGUUGUAGUUACCACACGUGAUGAAGGCAUUGCAAGUGAAAUUGGUACUGUUGAGCCAUACAACUUACCUCAACUGUCAGAUGAGAUGUGUUGGGAAAUAAUAAGACAGAAAAGUAACUUUGAAACAAGGCAUGACAAAGAACGGUUGGAGCCGAUUGGUAAGGAUAUUGCCAACAAGUGCAAAGGUGUAGCUUUAGCUGCCCAAUCACUUGGAUGCAUGUUGAAGUCCAAGUUGUAUGGAGAAUGGAAUUCGGUCAGAACCAAUCAUUUCUGGAAUCUAUCUACUUCCAUAGAUGCAUCAUCCAGACAUGAAGUGCUUGGGUCCUUGCUAUUAAGCUACAACCUCAUGCCUCCAUGCUUGAAGUUAUGCUUUGCUUAUUGUGCAAUCUUUCAAAAAGGUCACAAUUUGAUGAAGUAUGAGUUAAUUAACCAAUGGGUUGCUCUUGGAUUCGUGGAGCCAUCUUGUACCUUCUCUAACUGGCAAGUUGGUGAGAGUUACAUUAUGCAGCUUAUGGCGAUGUCAUUUCUUCAACAUUCAAAGGCUGACAACGAUAUAAACAUAACACUAUUCACCAUGCAUGACCUAGUGCAUGACCUCGCAAGAUCGGUCAUGGCUGAAGAAUUCAACUUGGCAGGCCCCAACUGCCGCUAUGCACAGCUCACAGAUUGUAAGAAGCCAUUAACGUCAUCCUCGACUUCACCUGAAAAGCUAAGGGCACUGCAUGUUAUGGACAAUGACUCACUGCCAUAUCAGUUCCACCGUGAUGCAUAUUCACCAGCUAAGUACCUUCGUGUAUUAGAUUUAGGCAGACUCUAUUUGAACGAGUUACCAGAUUCUGUUGGUCAACUGAAGCAGUUGAGGUAUCUUAGUGCUCCCAAAAUCCGAGAUGGAACGAAUCUCAAGUGGAUCGGUAUGCUCCGAGAAUUGAAUUAUCUCGACCUCCGCGAGUCUUAUUCUAUCUCAGUAUUGCCAGAGUCAAUUGGUGAAAUGAAAGGUCUGAUGUAUGUUGACUUAUCACGUUGUUGGGGUCUGAAGGAACUCCCACAUUCAUUUGCCAAGCUCAAGGAGUUGGUAUAUCUGAACUUAUCAUCCAAUUAUUAUGUUUUAGGAAUACCAGAAGCUUUGGCUCACCUUACCAAACUCCAGUAUUUGGUAUUAUCAGAAUGUGGAAAACUCAGAGGGCUGCCAGAGGUCAUCGGCGGCCUCACUGAACUCCGCUAUCUGAACCUAUCAGGGUGUAUCCAUUCUAUCUUCGACAGCUCAUCAACAAAUCAAACCGAGAGUUUCAUCGACCGUAUUUGUACCAUUCCCAGUAUGGAGCAUCUGGACUUGUCUCAUAAUGGCUAUCCUCUGAUUAGUAUACCAGAAAGUGCUAGCUGCCUCAGGAAGCUGGUCCUUGACAGAUGCAGGCAAGUUACUAAGCUUCCAGAAUGUCUGGCUAAAAUGGACCCUCAAAGCCUUUUUGGAUUGUUGCCAGCAUUUUCUGUAAGUGCAGAUGAUGCUGGAUGUAACACCAACCUUGGCAUUCUUGAGUAUAUAAAUCCCGAUGAACUUAGCAUCACGGAACUUGAAAAUGUGAAGUCUCAAGAAGAAACACGCAAUAUAAAACUGAGUGAAAAACAGAGAAUUGUACAACUGACAUUAAAGUGGAACCCACGAGCUAAGAGAUAUGUGGAUGACAUGGAGUUGCUAAGGGAGCUUGUGCCACCAACCUCUUUAGAGGAGUUUGCAAUAUAUGGUUAUAUUAGUGCCGACCUUCCAGACUGGGUAAUGAGUAUUGGCAAUUAUCUCCCUAAUGUUGUCCGAAUGGUGAUGUUCCAUUUGCCAAACUGUAACAGUCUUCCACCCAUCUCACAACUACCAAACCUCCGAGUGCUUACUCUGGAAUACAUGGAAAGCCUGGAAGAAUGGAACACAACCUACUCUAGUGGCGAGGAUAAUGUGAAUGAGCUCAUGUUUUGUAACCUUGAGGAAGUGAAUAUACAUGAUUGCCCCAAGUUGAUGAUAAAGCCACACCUUCCUAGAGCUGCAUCUUGGAGUAUAAGGGGAAGUGAUAAUGUGCUCAUAUCAUGGGCAGAUAGCAUGCCACACAAUGGUGCUUCCUCAUCUUCUUCUCCGCUAGGAGCAACUACUAAUCUGAAAGUUGAAUGGAGCAAGGUGCCUCUACAUCAGUGGAGAUUGCUUCACCAUCUACCUGGCCUGAGUGAUCUUCACAUCAAUGCUUGCAAUAAUUUGACAAGCUCACCAAAGAUCACCCUGGCUCUACAGUCCCUCAAAUCGCUGACACUGCAGUCUUCGGACCAAUCAAUACUGUUGGAAUUAGUAGGCGAGUUGACAUCUCUUCAGCAACUAGCGAUAAACAGAUUGACGUAUCUAAAGGAGUUUCCCGAUAACAUGAGGCAACUCAAGCAGCUACAAUCAUUGACACUGAAUCAUUGUACAUUGAGACAGCUGCCGCUAUGGUUAGGAGAACUUGCCUCUCUCAAGAAACUUGUAAUUUCAAAUUGCUCUGGUCUCAUGACUUUGCCAAAUAGCAUAGGACAACUGGUAGGUCUCCAAGAAUUGGCAAUAGCCUACUGCCAUCAUGACUUAGCGCAGUGGUGUGAAGCAGAGGAGAACAAUACGAAGCUUGCUCACAUAGAAGAAAAGAGUAUCCAUAUUGAUCCUUGUUAUGCCCCAAGGGCUGCAAUUCACUCCAGCCGCCGUUCUUCCCCACUCCGGUGGCCCUUGUUGCGAAAAAAGAUAAAAAAGUGA